CUGGUUGAUCCUGCCAGUAGUCAUAUGCUUGUCUCAAAGAUUGAGCCAUGCAUGUCUAAGUAUAAGCAAUUUAUACAGUGAAACUGCGAAUGGCUCAUUAAAUCAGUUAUCGUUUAUUUGAUAGUACCUUACUACUUGGAUAACCGUGGUAAUUCUAGAGCUAAUACAUGCUUAAAAUCCCGACUGUUUGGAAGGGAUGUAUUUAUUARAUAAAAAAUCAAUGUCUUCGGACUCUUUGAUGAUUCAUAAUAACUUUUCGAAUCGCAUGGCCUUGUGCUGGCGAUGGUUCAUUCAAAUUUCUGCCCUAUCAACUUUCGAUGGUAGGAUAGUGGCCUACCAUGGUUUCAACGGGUAACGGGGAAUAAGGGUUCGAUUCCGGAGAGGGAGCCUGAGAAACGGCUACCACGUCCAAGGAAGGCAGCAGGCGCGCAAAUUACCCAAUCCCGACACGAGGAGGUAGUGACAAUAAAUAACGAUACAGGGCCCUUUCGGGUCUUGUAAUUGGAAUGAGUACAAUGUAAAUACCUUAACGAGGAACAAUUGGAGGGCAAGUCUGGU
rnacentral:rRNA from 1 species